ensembl:lncRNA
GGGCCUCAUAUCUGCCCAUAAGCCAGCACACACCUCGCGAUUAAUUUGGUGAUCAUGACUUGGAAAGAACCCCAGAGACCAGAGACAUAUUUAUUAAAUGCAAACUUCUAAUUAUUUCUUGGAACACUGAUGAAAACUACUCCUUAAGUAAUCUUUUUUUUUUCUUGGCUAGUGACUGAGCUGCCAUGUAGUUUUCUAGCAAUUAUUUUUAACAUCCCAAAAAUUGCCCUGAAGAUAUGCAAAACACACUUCCUACGAAUCGCACUUGAGAGAGCGAACAAGAAAUCAACCAGAGAAUGCAUCUUUGUGUGUCUGCCAUGACUGCCAAGGGACACGGGUUUCCGGAGUGGAGUCUUCCCCAGGGUCAAGGGGCACCAGGCUCUGGGAGCGGCUCGGAUGGAGUCCAGGGCCGUGGGAACUUACCUGCCGGCGUCCGAGGGGCAGGGCGAACUCAGGAGCUGGCGGUGCCAGGGCCGGCCCAGGAGGGUCGGCUGAGUGGAGUCAGGGUCUUUGGACUGUUGGACCACUGGAUGAGGGGGGUGGGGCCGAACGGAGACCACGGGGCCUGGAUGCUGGACAGAGGAUGCCCAAGAUGGAUGCGGGUUGGAAUUCCAGGCGCAGAAGGCCAUCCGAGCCCGGGCGCAUGGGGAAAGCUUUCUGCCCCAGGAAACUCAUUUGGAGGCCCCUCCAGGUGAUGGGGUGAAUUGGGCCUAAAAGCAGGUUCUAAGCCCCUCUUUUUAACCCCCUGUUCCCCACUCCGGCCUGCAGACCAUUACCGAGAUGAAAGCCCAGAGAAUGCCUUUGGACCACGACUGCGGGAUCUAAUUGAAUUAUAUGAACGCAGUUAAACGCCUGCUUCAGAGAGGCAGGGCUUGCUUUCAAGACUGGAUGCUUCAGGAGUUAAUGGGCUAUUUGAACAAUAUAGGCCGAGAGCCGAACACAGGUCUCAUCUCUCAUCCCUCCUCCACUGUGUGGACCGUCAGCCAGGAAUGCCUCCCUCUGUCCCCCAUGGACCCCCCUCCAUCCUGAGUCCUCAACCCUGCUGGAGUCAAUUUAAAUGCAACCUCCUCCAGUUCCACAUCCCAUGACAUCAUGGGUCACUUGAAAUCAACCACGGUUGGAGUAUUUACACCAGGGAAAUUGGCAAACUCUACAAAUCAGGGUGUGGCCACCUCAUACGAAGAGUUGACUCAUUGGAAAAGACUCUGAUGCUGGGAGGAAUUGGGGGCAGGAGGAGAAGGGGACGACAGAGGAUGAGAUGGCUGGAUGGCAUCACUGACUCGAUGGACGUGAGUCUCAGUGAACUCCGGGAGUUGGUGUUGGACAGGGAGGCCUGGCGUGCUGCAGUUCACGGGUCACAAAGAGUCGGACAUGACUGAGCGACUGAUCUAAUCUGAUCUGAUCUGAUGCUUUUUCUCUGGGGAACUGGUGGCGAGACCUGUAUCAGCACACCACUGGAUUAUAGGGAAGAGUCAAUAAUAAAGAGCACAGUGCCUGCUACCUACUAAGUGCUUAAUUAAAGUUCGCUUAGAUGAAGACUGGGCGUCCCAGGUGGCUCAGCAGUAAAGAAUCCUCCUGCAGUGCAGGAGACACAGG